ACUGUAGAACUGCCAUUGAUACUGUCAUUCUUGAGUAUUGUUGAGGUAGGCGGAAUGUGUCAUGUAGCGGUGAAAUGCUUAGAUAUGACACAGAACACCGAUCGCGAAGGCAGCUUACCAAGCAAUAACUGACGUUCAUGCACGAAAGCGUGGGGAUCAAACAGGAUUAGAUACCCUGGUAGUCCACGCCUUAAACGAUGGAUGUUCGGUGUCGGUUCGCAAGGAUCGGUGCCUGAGCCAACGCGUUAAACAUCCCACCUGGGGAGUACGAUCGCAAGGUUGAAACUCAAAGGAAUUGACGGGGGCCCGCACAAGCAGUGGAGAAUGUGGUUCAAUUCGAUGCAACGCGAAGAACCUUACCUGGGUUUGAAAAGCUAGUGACAUCCGAUGAAAGUCGGCUUCCCCGCAAGGGGCACUAG
rnacentral:rRNA from 1 species